rnacentral:rRNA from 1 species
GACGAAGGAUGCAAGCGUUAUCCGGAUUCAUUGGGUUUAAAGCGUGUGUAGGCGGGCCCGUAAGUGUCUUGUGAAAUCCCACGGCUCAACCGUGGAACUGCUGGGCAUACUGCGGGUCUUGGGCCAACUAGGGGCAGCCGGAACAAGCGGUGGAGCGGUGAAAUGCGUAGAUAUCGCUUGGAACGCCGAAGGUGAAAACAGGCUGCUGGGGUUGCGCCGACGCUGAGACACGAAAGCCAGGGGAGCAAACGGG